rnacentral:tRNA from 3 species
GGAAGGGUGGCCGAGUGGCUUAAGGCGCACGCCUGGAAAGCGUGUUUGCGUUAAUAGCGUAACGGGGGUUCGAAUCCCCCCCCUUCCGCCA